UACGUAGGGGGCAAGCGUUGUCCGGAUUUAUUGGGCGUAAAGAGCGUGUAGGCGGUUUGGUAGGUCCGCUGUGAAAACUCGAGCUCAACCUCGAGACGCCGGUGGAAACCAUCAGACUAGAGUCCGGAAGAGGAGAGUGGAAUUCCUGGUGUAGCGGUGAAAUGCGCAGAUAUCAGGAAGAACACCCGUGGCUAAGGCGGCUCUCUAGUACGGUACUGACGCUGAGACGCGAAAAGCGUUGGGGGAG
rnacentral:rRNA from 1 species